AGCUAGAAAUCAUGAUUUUUUUCAAAUUUUUCCAGGGAUACUUUGUUUUCUGCUCUCUAGACUCCCCCUCGCGGCUCUAGUGCUCCACCCCUAGAAUAUAGACCUUACUGGGGUUUGGUGACACUUUGUGUUGCUUCAGUCACCUGCUCACAGCUCACCCCCCUAAAAUUUCUGGCACCACCCCAGUAAAAAAUAUGAAAAUCCGUCUAUGA